rnacentral:rRNA from 1 species
CAGCCGCCGCGGUAAUACGAAGGGGGCUAGCGUUGCUCGGAAUGACUGGGCGUAAAGCGUGCGCAGGCGGUCCGCUAAGACAGAUGUGAAAUCCCCGGGCUUAACCUGGGAACUGCAUUUGUGACUGGCGGGCUAGAGUAUGGCAGAGGGGGGUAGAAUUCCACGUGUAGCAGUGAAAUGCGUAGGGAUGUGGAGGAAUACCGAUGGCGAAGGCAGCCCCCUGGGCCAAUACUGACGCUCAUGCACGAAAGCGUGGGGAGCAAACAGGAUUAGAUACCCCUGUAGUCCCUGUCUCUUAUAC